rnacentral:rRNA from 1 species
ACGAACGCUGGCGGCGUGCUUAACACAUGCAAGUCGAACGGUGAAGCGCCUUCCUUUUUGGUGGGUGUGGAUGAGUGGCGAACGGGUGAGUAACACGUGAGUAACCUGCCCCCUUCUUCUGGAUAACCGCAUGAAAGUGUGGCUAAUACGGGAUAUUCUGGGUCUGUCGCAUGAUGGGUCUGGGAAAGAUAUUGUUUCGGUGGGGGAUGGGCUCGCGGCCUAUCAGCUUGUUGGUGGGGUGAUGGCCUACCAAGGCGGUGACGGGUAGCCGGCCUGAGAGGGUGGACGGUCACACUGGGACUGAGACACGGCCCAGACUCCUACGGGAGGCAGCAGUGGGGAAUAUUGCACAAUGGGCGCAAGCCUGAUGCAGCGACGCCGCGUGAGGGAUGGAGGCCUUCGGGUUGUGAACAUCUUUCGCCAGUGAAGCAGGCCUGCCUCGUUUGUGGGUGGGUUGACGGUAGCUGGAUAAGAAGCGCCGGCUAACUACGUG